rnacentral:lncRNA from 1 species
UCCCUCUUCUUCUUCUUCCUUUUUCACCACCAACUUCCAGCCACCAUAACUCCUCCAUGCGGCCUCCUUUGAAAACCCCACAACCACCAACAAAUUCAUCUCUUCUCCCUCUUCAAUAACCACUAAUUUAUUUUUAGAUUGGUGAGAGUUUGAAAAACUCCAAUCACCACUUUCACUCUCAAUUUUCGGCCACCAUGAGACUCUUUUUGAGAAAUAAAAGUGACAAUAUUCUUUUUCAUGAUGACCUCUACCAAACCUCUCAAUUUAUUUCAUGAUCUGGGUACUUUCACCGGA